rnacentral:sRNA from 1 species
ACUCAACGAACUUUUUUUUAAAAGAGGUGAGUCCAUAUGGUAAAAGCAUGCUGCCCUGAGCAGAUCCUUGAUCCAUAGGUUAGCCCCAAUCCUGUAAUUAUGGAGUUU